GUGGGGAAUAUUGGACAAUGGGCGCAAGCCUGAUCCAGCCAUGCCGCGUGAGUGAUGAAGGCCUUAGGGUUGUAAAGCUCUUUCAGUGGGGACGAUAAUGACGGUACCCACAGAAGAAGCCCCGGCUAACUUCGUGCCAGCAGCCGCGGUAAUACGAAGGGGGCUAGCGUUGUUCGGAUUUACUGGGCGUAAAGCGCACGUAGGCGGAUCGUUAAGUCGAGGGUGAAAUCCUGGAGCUCAACUCCAGAACUGCCUUCGAUACUGGCGAUCUUGAGUCCGGAAGAGGUGAGUGGAACUCCUAGUGUAGAGGUGGAAUUCGUAGAUAUUAGGAAGAACACCAGUGGCGAAGGCGGCUCACUGGUCCGGUACUGACGCUGAGGUGCGAAAGCGUGGGGAGCAAACAGGAUUAGAUACCCCAGUAGUCC
rnacentral:rRNA from 1 species